UCCGACUUAACGUCGGCAGUCUCGUUAGAGUGCUCGCCAUGACGCGUUAGCAACUAACGACAAGGGUUGCGCUCGUUGCGGGACUUAACCCAACAUCUCACGACACGAGCUGACGACAGCCAUGCAGCACCUUCUACCAGGUUCCCCGAAGGGCACUCCCACAUCUCUGCAGGAUUCCUGGCGAUUUAACCCAGGUAAGGUUCUGCGCGUUGCCUCGAAUUAAACCACACGCUCCGCUGCUUGUGCGGGCCCCCGCCUAUUCCUUUGAGUUUUAACCUUGCGGCCGUAGUCCCCAGGCGGGGCACUUACUGCGUUAGCGACGGCACCGGGAGGGUCGCUCCCCCCGACGCCUAGUGCCCAUCGUUUACGGCGUGGACUAC
rnacentral:misc_RNA from 1 species